AUUCCAGCUCCAAUAGCGUAUAUUAAAGUUGUUGCCGUUAAAAGCUCGUAGUCGAACUUCGGCCUCUGCCGCCCGGUCCGCCUAUUCGGGUGUGUACUGGAGCGGUGGAGGCUUACCUCGUGGUGAGCGGCGAUGUCCUUUACUGGGCGUCGUCGGGAACCAUGAUUUUUACUUUGAAAAAAUUAGAGUGUUCAAAGCAGGCUUACGCCCGAAUACAUUAGCAUGGAAUAAUAAAAUAGGACGUGCGGUCCUAUUUUGUUGGUUUCUAGGAUCGCCGUAAUGAUUAAUAGGGAUAGUUGGGGGCAUUCGUAUUCAAUUGCUAGAGGUGAAAUUCUUGGAUUUAUUGAAGACGAACUACUGCGAAAGCAUUUGCCAAGGAUGUUUUCAUUA
rnacentral:rRNA from 1 species